GUCUUCCCCUCAUCCUGGCAAAUACUUCUGGGACCCCACCAGAAAUCUUACAUAACAACCAUUUGCUUCUCUUCCUGGAUAUCGAUUCUCAGAAGAGAAGAGUGAGGGCUGACUGGAUUUCCUGUCAAGUACACCCAGAAUGAGGAGAAAGACACAAUUGUGUGGAUCAGGAGGAAGAAAGUCAAAGGUGAUCACUGAUGAGGACUGAACAGCCUCUCAUUUCAGUAAUCACUGGGAGUGUUUUGAGUGAAAUGCAGCAAUCACUGCAAUGCAAAGUGUUCUGUCACCAUCAAGAAGGAAUGAGCUCCCCAGCUGAAAGACCUUGUUUGGGAACACUUCCAUGAAGAGACACACAUCCAUCCUCCUGCCCUUCACCUCGCCGUGGGAAGGUGUGUUGGUACACGCUGUCUUGACAUGAGCUCUCUCCCCUCCAGUUUCCUUGUGCCUCCAGAUGCCAACAUUUUACUGUCCCUCCAAGAUGACUGUCAGAGAAAAUGGAAAUUAAUUGUGAGGACUUUUAGAAAGCAGUAUUUAGAAACUUGGGAGUUUCUUUUAGACACUCAUGGGUGGUUGGUUUAAAUCCCCCAAAAGAUACAUAUCUAUCUUUGUCUUUCUCGUGUUCUUAGA